rnacentral:tRNA from 1 species
GAGGGUAACAGCUCAGUGGUAGAGCAUGUGCUCAGCAAGCAUGAGGUCCUGGGUUCAAUCCCCAGUACCUCCA